GUCCGUGACUGAAACCUCCCCGCCCCCGCCGCCUCCUCCCCCCGCGCCGGGGGAACCUCGCACACAUGUGACCCGGGAAACCAUGACAACCUCCCGCCGGGGACUGCGGCCCGCAGCGCGCCCCCCCACCCCGCACUGCCGGGAGGAGCGGGCGGGCGGCGGGAUGCGGCGCUCCUCUCAGGCUCCGGCCCCGCCGAGGGGGUUCCGCCGUCCCUGCGGUAUUUCACCGCUCGUUGCCGUUGUGCUUUUUUUUGUGGGCCACGGACGACCAUAAAGAGAUCCCCGCAUCGCUCGUAUGCGUAGAUACGCCAUACGUUCAUAGUCACAUAACGUAGGAAGCGCAGUGUCAGAAAACGCCUCCGGUCAUCUGGCUGCCUCGAGGUCCACGAUCACCACAUCUAGAGAAAGAAACAAUUGGAAAAGACAAAAGUUCCCUUUCAGCGCUGCCGCCCAGCCCGCGCUGCGGGGUCCGCCCGGUGCGGUGAGCAGGUGCUGCCGUCGCUGCCGUGCGCUCAGGGCUGCAGGCAGUGCCCGCGGGCCCGCUUUGUCACGGAGCUCUGCGGAAUGCUGCUCGGAAGUGAAGUCCUGGGAAGGCAUGAAAACCGGUUUGUAAUCGCCUCAGCGUGUGGGGAUGACAGCAGCAUGGAAUCAUUAAGGUUGGAAAGACCACUACAGUCAUCUAGUCCAACCGUCAGCCCAUCCCCACCAUCCCGAUAACCCAUGUCCCUCAGUGCCACAUCUCCACGUUUCUUGAGCACCUGCAGGGGCAGUGACUCCGUCACCUCCCUGGGCAGCCUGUGCCAGCGCCUCACCACUCCUGCUGAGAAGAAAUUGUUCCUAAUAUCCAACCUGAACCUCCCCUGGUGCAAUUUGUGGCUAUUUUCUCUCACCCUAUCACUGUUACCUGGGAGCAGAGACCAACUCCCACCUCGUCGCAACCUCCUUUCUGGCAGUGUAGAGAACAAUAAGGUCUUUCCUGAGCCUCCUCCAGGCCAUCGCAGUUCCCUCAGCCGCUCCCCAUCAGACGUGUGUUCCAUAUUCUUCACAGCUUUGUUGCACUUCUCUGGACACGCUCCAUGGCCUCGACGUCCUUCUUGUAGUGAGGGGCUCACAGCUGAGCACAGAAAUUUCUGUCAGCCCUGGGUUUGUGCACAAAAUGAAUCAAUGGCCCAAAGGUCCAAGCUCAGGACCACUCUGCUGUUUGGAAAUUGCUUUUACUGGACACUCGCCAUUAUUUCAGCUACCCUGAAAUGUACUUCAAAGAGACUUGGUGAGAAAAAUAGUCAAAAAUCAAGUUUGUCUCAGCAAGGAGAUACUGAAUGUAUCUUGAUGAUGAUGUGGCUUCAGCAAGUAACAAGAAGAAAAUGUAGCAAUCUCUGUGGUGCUUUUUUUCAUUCAAGCUAUGACCUCAAAGCCAUUUUUAAUUGGAUGCAUUUCCAAAUGAAGCCACUGCUCCCUGUAGGAGCAUUUUUCCAGUUGCACCUGGUUCACAAAUUGGACAUUAUGAACUUGGCAAACCAGUACAGUGAGCGAUCUGUGUUUAGGGGUGAUACCUCUGCUCUACAGCAGGUGAAAGACACCUCUACCAACAGAGUAUAGGACACUGUUCAGCAGUGUCUUGUGGCUUGCUUUCUCUCUGUGGGAAAAGCCAGUAUGGAGCACUGAUGAACAAAAUGAAGUUCACAGCUAUUUAGCACUGCCCAGCAUGAGAGAUAUCUCCAUAACCACACUAAGUCCUGAAGACAGGCCAUGAGCACACACUACACUGCAGAAGGCUGCUCCUCCAACAGGCACUGGGAAUGCUGCAGCUUCCUUCUGGUGGCCAGGAGCCCUGGUUUCAGCCAAAGCACAGUGCCAACAUCACAUCAAUGCUGUGGUUGCUGCUGAGCAAUGGGAGCUUCCUGGGGCCCUUUAUGCGUGUCAGCAGGAGGUGGACAGAGCCCAGACAGGUGACCUAAAUUAGGCUGAGGGUUAUUCCAUAUCUAUGUGACUGUAGAUAGCUGGCUUAGGGCUGACUGCUGCAAGAUCGAUGGGAUGGAAUGGUCUUAUGUUGUUGGUGGGCAGUUAAAUUAUUAGUUGGGCAUUGGUCAGUGAGUAAUUGCACUGUGGAAAUUACAUAUGUAUAGUUGUCAUCACAUUUUUUAUUAUUCUAUUUCCUUCUAUCAAUCUUAAUAAAUAGCUUUCAUCUUAGCCUACUGGCAUGUCUUAACCAUAUCUGUCCCUACAAAGUACUGCCAUGGUGCCAUGUAGCCACAUACAUUGCUGUCGCAAAGAAUCAGGAGGGCUGACACCUGUGUGUUAUGGACAGGUGCUCCUCUUGGUCAUUCUAAAAGGAGCUUUAGCUAGAAAUGUCAAACUGGCUCAUUUACAAGUCUAGCUGCUCAAAGCCCUCUAACAGUGAGCUCUCCUGUUUGUCAUCAGGUUGAGAUAUGCCUGAACUUUGAGGAAACCAGGAACUGUUGACACUUGGUCCAACUAUCCACUUGGUGCCUAUGUUCUGUGAGCAUGUAAUAUUCCAUUUACUGGAGUCUUCAGGACUGAAUGGAUUGUUAUCUCUGAGGUUUUCUCCCAGCCAGACAAGGCUGUCUGUUAAUCCAGGAUUUAUCAGCAGCACUGUCUUUCACCAUGUAGUCAAGGACUACUCAGGCUUGCUAGAGCAUCCCAUUCUCCCAGACAUCAUUAGAGUGAAAGGAGAUUCCUCCUCUGGGGACAUCCUCAGGAGCCAGUCUUUGAUGUUUGUAGGCAAAACUGGCAUUGUUUGAAUAAGAGGCUCCUAAUUAGUGGCACUCUAAAGAACUACUCUAAUUUUAUAUUUUCAAAACACCCUAAAAUGUGUCUAGGAAGGCAGCUUGAGGUUUGGUGUAUCUCAAAGAAUGGCAGUGAGCUUUGCAGUUCAAGUUGAUGUCUUCUCUUUUCCUUCCUGUUCCAAGGAACUUGCCUUGACUUCAAAUUGCUUUUAAAUCCUUGUAAGGGGAACAGCUGUCCCAGAAUGUGUUACACUCCAGCAGAGUGAACAGUUAGGUAAUGAGAGGAUCAGUUCACACCUCUCUGAUGAGUUUUAUUCGUUUGUACUAAUUUUCAUGUGUCAUUCAGCAGUGAGCAUCAUCUUGACAUGAAAGAAAAUAUAAAACUUCACAAAUCUUUUUGUAUUGAAAAAGGGCUGGGGACAACACUACCCUGACAACUGCCAAGAAAAUUAAAUGAGGACUCCUGUUAUCUCCUUUCCUCCUUGCCAGUAGGUGCCCUCUUCUUAACACUGCUUACCAGCUUUGUGUGCCAAUCUGUUGCUUCAUCUGCUUUGAGGUGGUGGAAAAACUAGGAGAAUACAGGUAGCAGCUGAAAAAUAGCAUGUGCUGCAUCUCCUACAUGACAGCGCUAGCCAGCAUAUUUUGGAAACAGGUUGGGACUGCUUCUGUCAGAGAUCAGAGACAGAUCAUUUCUGAGUACACAGAGGAUACUGAACAGAAUGCAGAAGGGAGGGCAGACCCUAAAGGCUUAUUUUUACCAGGGUGAAUGAAGGCUUAGUAAGUUUAAUAAACUUGAGCUAAAUAUGUCAAUCCAGCAACCUUCUUUGUGCUAGCUUUCAACCAUUUGCCUGAUAGGGGCAUCUUUCUCCAGUGCUCCCAAAGGUGUUCUCAACACCCAUCUUCUCAUUAACCCUAACCCUAGCUGAGCUCUGCAAUGCAGUACAGGGAGAGGGGCAGAAGUAUGCUUUUCUCUAGAGUGGAAAGUAAACACCCUACUGGAGUACAAUACUUUUAAAAGUCCACUUUGUCGCCUUCUUGGAGGUGAGAGAGACUAUUGUGACCAGCUGCACAGCCAGCCCUGAAAUAAGAGACCCUGAUCUCUUUAUACGUAGUAGCAUUUGUCCUACAUGGGUAAGCUAACAGCUCACAGCAGUGGUACUCAAUGGAAAGAGUUUGUAUUGUACUGCAGAAGACACAGGACAAAAACUGGCCCUAAACCUAUUGCAGCAUAUAGAAGAAGGCUGACAUGUGGGAGUAUUUCCUGUUUGUUUGUUUAAUUUUUGCUUUGUGCUGACUUAAAUCUUUUGUCUUGACUUCUGAAAUUGUAAAUUCAGACGCACUUUGCAUUUGGCAUGAUUAAAAGCUGCUGCUGACAAGCAACUUGAAAAUGCCUUCAUGUUUUAUGUGUAUUUCAAAAUCUCUUCAGCUGUAUGCCUUUGCAGGCUCUUGAUCUAGCAAUAGCUGGUUUGUACAUUUUGAGCAACGGGUUAGUAAGAAUCACGCACUAUUUCUGAUCUUCCCAAAUACCUUUAAGAUGUCACAUAAAUUGAUCUUUUUUUUUUUCUUCUCAGUUUACAAGGCAGCUCAUGCUGCCUUGCUUGGCAAAUCUUAUUUACUGAAUUCUCUUGUUAACAGAUUUCAGUGGUAGUCAUUCAACCGUAGAUUCUUUCAGCAAUAACAAAACAUGCAGCUGUGCAGGUUCAUUCUUUUUUUUUUCCUUCAGAUUAGAAUGAUAUAUCACUACUAUUAUUGUGCCAAAUCUUUUACCAGAACAUAACCUCUUUAUCAGAAAAAUGUUCAGUUCUAUCAACAGCAUAAUAAACUGGUGUCUGUAAUUCAAGGAUCAAGUGUAAAUGCAUUCCUCAUGACUCUCCCUUGACUUGAUUCUCCAGUUCUUCUCAUACCUUUUGCUCUGGCUGCUCUUACUGUUCUUUUCUUGCUGUGGAUUUGAAGCAUCUAACUCUUCCUGUGUUUAACACAUAUCCAGAGGGAGCAAGUAUCCACUUACAUACUCAGGUAAAAUUCUUACUUAUGUUUCUUUACUUUUCUGCUCACUCUAGCUCUACUCAACUCAAAACUGGGCCUUCCAGGAAGUAAUAGCUUCGUGUCUUAUUGUGAACACUACUUACAGUGGUCUCUUCAGUGAAUGAACAGUGAAUGAACAGUGAAUGUAGGUAUGCUUUGAAAUCCAUUGGUUUGUAGUCCUUGGUAUUCAGAAACUGCUGGAUACCCUCUCUUAGAAAAUCGGUCCACUUUAUGUGCCUCAGUUUGGACACUGACAGGCAAUCACUUGUCAUUUCACCAAAAAAAAAAAAAGAGUCAAAUCUUUAAAGUCAGUAUAGUGAGUGCUGAAUUUGCCAUUAAAAGCAAACUUUCCUCUCAUUUUGAUGUAAUGAGAUAAAAUGACAGCAUAGCUGUAGUAGACAGGCUAUUUUAGGGAUCUUAUGCUCAUACAGUGUCCUGUUCACGAAAAAUGGCAUUCUACACUGUCAACACAACCUGUUAAAUGGCUAACAAACAUCUCUCAAACUACUUGACAACAGCAAGUCAUCAUCAAAUGGAGGUGUUGUUCCCCAGGGACUGACAGUAGGCUGUUUCUGUUCAACAUCUCCCACAGUCUUGUAGAAGUAAAUAUAAAUGUUGCUGAUGCAAUAUCCAGGUGUCAUAGAACUCAGUUAGAAUGGUGGUAUCAGUGAGCUCUGCUAAGCACAAAGCGGCCUGGAUAACUUGUCCAUUUAAAUGAAAUCUUUCUUCACACACCUACAUUUUAAGUGAUUGACUUCAGAACAAAGAGCGCAAGAUGUUUCUACAGAGUGGGAGGAUUUUAUCUUGGAAAGCAGUGCUUCUGAGAGAGUUGAGGGAUCAAAAUGGAGAAACAGCUCAACUUCUCAACUUGAACUCCCAAUAUAAAUCUGUAGCAAAAUGGGCUAAUGAGAUUCUUGGGUGUUUCAGGAGGCAAAAAGUAAAUGGGAAAGGGGGAUUUGCACUUUGUGUGGCACUUCUGAGACCAGGACCAGUGUACAGCCUCUAAUUUUGGUGUUCGUGUGUUUAAAAGAAUAUUGAAAAAUAAGAACUGUGCAGGAAAGAUACAGGAAUACCCAUAAGCUGAAGAAAAUGCCUUACGGUGAAACGACUGGGAAAGCUCAGCAUUUUUAUCAAAAGGAAGAUUGAAAUUUGACCAAAUUAUAAAUGCUUCCAGAAGGGAAAAACACAAGGUAAAGAAGAUUUUUCAAAGUAACCAAGGAAUACAACAAGAAAACAGUGGCUGGAAAUUGAAGUAUAGCCUUCCAACCAUGGUCAAUGAUUAAUAUAUAUUUAACAGCAAAGAUUAAACAGUUGUAAUCCAAGGUUGAAGAGAGGUAGUACAUUUCCUGCCCCUUGACGUCAGCUCUGUAUUCCUGCUUGGAUAACAGCGUUUAUCAAAAAAAUUGUCAUUAUGCAUAGUAAAAGAGGCUUAUACCAAAUGAUCUGAAUGAUAAAGUCUAUUUUGAAUAGUCUAGAUAGUUUAUUAUGAAUAUGAAUACAGUCUAGAUAGUCUGGUAGUUCCUUCCAGCCCCUUUAAUGUAAAGAAUAGAAUAGGUCUUGUUUAUCAGAAGUGGCUCAACAUCUCCUCUUGGAACUAAAACUCUUUAAUGUCUCUAAAUUAAUACUCAAAGUAACCAAUUAUUUUGAGAAGAUUAUGGCUGUGGUCUUAAAAAUUCAGUGUAACAAACUUUUCCACUAUUAAUGCAAAUAAAAAUGGUGCAGUAACUGAAAUAAGGUAUGACACAGAAACUGUCAUACCAUGCAGCAAAUUAUUGAUAUCUCCGAGAUGAAAUGAAACACAAAUAUCCUAAAAUAGUAUGGUAUUUCUUAGCUUUCAUGAAAUAUGAACCGAUAAUGGGAAAUUUAUGGUAAAAAUAAAUAUGCUUUUAAAAAUUUUCAGUCGCUAUUGUGGUUGCUUGAGUAUUAUUUAAAUGUAAAAGAGCUGCAAUGAAUAGAUAGCUUUGCUUUUUACUUCCCGUGAGGUACCUGGAGAAUCUGAUGAUUUGUGAAAAAGGGGAACCUCCUUGCUACAAAACCUCUUCUCUUUUUACUUGUCCUGGGCUUAGCUCUGAAAUCUUCAAAUUAUCUGCUGUGCAGAGAAAACAGGGUUCAAAGGAGUAGAAAUGGCUGUUGGAUGGGCAAAAAAACCAAAACCUCACAAUUCCUUUCCUUGUAUUGCUCAUUACCUGCCAACUUUCCUCCCACCAAAUAUCUAUUAUAAGUAUUAUUACACAUUUCUUGGGACUUAACUUCCAAAAGGAGCGACUUUAAGCUGCAGAGUCUGUGAUUCUAUAUCCUCUCCCAUGGAAGAGGCAUUAAAUGCAUUUGUUUUGCUUUGCUUUUCUGAUGGAUUUAAUGGCUUUUUUUUUCUUUUUUUUUUUUUUUCUCAGAAAAUACUGUUUACUGUUUGCAGAAAGAUUAAAGCGUCUACAUAACUAUUGGUUCAGUAAGACACAUAAGAACCAGCUGAAAUGUUUUCCUGUGUUUGAACCUUAAUCUAGUAGUAGUAUUCCUGCAAACAUUCAUCCUGUGAAAACUAAGAAUAGUAUUAUUCUGACCCUAAUUGAUGAUACGUUUCUUUCUACCUUUGGGUGUCUCUGCAGAUCUACAGCCAACUUGAAUUGAGUGGACACACCAGGCUGUGUGACUGGCAGCUUUGUGCAUUAGUGGGCAUCAGACCUGAGUUCAGCUAUUGCCGAGUCUGUGAGGGAAGGUGUGUGGCUGGAAUUGGAAACACUGGAUUUGAGAGAAGAACCUUAAUUCAAACCAGCAGGCUUUAAAGGACAAAUGUGGACAGUUCAGAGCUGUGUGCUAGAGAGCCAAGUCUUUAGUUUGUCUCAGAAUGGUUUGUUUAUAAGAACUGGCAAAUGUGCUUUUGAUUAAAGACAAACAUCCAAAUGCACUGACUUCUACAGAUUCUGGAACAGAAGGACUCUCACUCUCAUUUAUGCGUGCACACAUAAAUAUAUGUCUAUAUCUGAUAUUACUGUUCUUAUUUUGGUAGAACCUAGAGACCCCAUCACAUUAAUCAUUCUACAGAUGCAAUGUAAGUAUCUUAACAUAGUUGGCUUUCAGUAAGGUAAGACUUGCUAGUUAGUGUGGGUUUAUGGAUCUUAUUAUCCCAUCUUAAGGAUGAGAUUAUUUUUUAUAUUUUUAUCUUGAAAGAGAAAUAUUUACAUUUUUAAGUAAAAUCUGUAACUGUACCACCCUUUCAAUAUUCCAACUUUAGCCCCAAGAGUAGAAGACAGUGCCAGACAUGCAUUCCCUUGUGUUUUUUAUCGUUGAUUUUGGUAUGCUCUAUUUUUAUUCAAUUCUAUGGGAAAUGCAUACACUUUGUGCAGUUGCCAGAAUGCGAUUCCCCAAUGCCCUCUCUUUAUUUCCAAGUGUUCUUUUUUCAGAUUCAAGUCCUCUUGCGACAGCACUUUCUCUUGUUUGAUCAAGUAAUCCUUGCUCAUACUGAACCCAUUUGCUGAGGACAACACUUAUGUACGCGGAGCUGAAAGGGCAGACAUCUGAGUUAAGGAAAGUCUCCCACCCUGACAGUAAUGAAUUACCCAGCAGAGCCUUCAAGCAAAUAGGAAAAGGAAGAAACGUGGUCUCAAGGACAGAUAGGUAGGUUGGUAGUCUUUCGUAUUUCUUCGUCCUGCCUUGAGUUAUACCUCAUAGCUCAGGUGUGUGCUUGUUCCCAGAGGUUUGAUCUACAUGGCUGCUUGAAGAGAGGGUUAUACACACUUCCC
ensembl:lncRNA